AGAGUUUGAUCCUGGCUCAGAGUGAACGCUGGCGGCAGGCCUAAUACAUGCAAGUCGAACGGCAGCACAGCAGAGCUUGCUCUGUGGGUGGCGAGUGGCGGACGGGUGAGGAAUACGUGGGAAUCUGCCCAGUCGUGGGGGAUAACGUAGGGAAACUUACGCUAAUACCGCAUGCGCCCUUCGGGGGAAAGCCGGGGACCUUCGGGCCUGGCGCGAUUGGAUGAGCCCACGUCGGAUUAGCUAGUUGGCGGGGUAAAGGCCCACCAAGGCGACGAUCCGUAGCUGGUCUGAGAGGAUGAUCAGCCACACUGGAACUGAGACACGGUCCAGACUCCUACGGGAGGCAGCAGUAGGGAAUAUUGGACAAUGGGCGCAAGCCUGAUCCAGCCAUGCCGCGUGAGUGAAGAAAGCCCUCGGGUUGUAAAGCUCUUUUGUCCGGAAAGAAAAGCGCCGGGUUAAUACCCUGGUGUCCUGACGGUACCGGAAGAAUAAGCACCGGCUAACUUCGUG
rnacentral:rRNA from 1 species